CAUAGCUUUUAUGAUUUUCAUCAUUGAAAGAUUUCACGAAUUCAAAAUGGCUGCAAUUGGAAAAAAACACGUGUUGUCGAAGGAGUAUACGCAUAAAGGCAGUAUUAGUAAGCUACAUCCUCAAUUGGACCGUCGGCGUAAGAAGCUUGCAGAAUGUAUUUAAGAAGAUCAAAUCUCCGGGAAAAAUGGGGAACAUUAGCUUGGAACAGACCGCUCAGACGAUAGCCCACCCAUGAAGAACGGCA